UCUAUAGAAGACUUUAGAGUAGAAAUCUGAGUCUCACCCCACAUACCACCAAGGGAGUGACCAGUUAGUCUCAACAGAGCACUGAGUCCCAGUCUUAGACAUCAUGGAUUGGGUGUGGAACUUGCUAUUUCUGAUGGCAGUUGCCCAAAGUGCCCAAGCACAGAUCCAGUUGGUACAGUCUGGACCUGAGCUGAAGAAGCCUGGAGAGUCAGUGAAGAUCUCCUGCAAGGCUUCUGGGUAUACCUUCACAGACUAUGCAAUGCACUGGGUGAAACAGGCUCCAGGAAAGGGCUUGAAGUGGAUGGGCUGGAUCAACACCUAUACUGGGAAGCCAACAUAUGCUGAUGACUUCAAAGGACGGUUUGUCUUCUCUUUGGAAGCCUCUGCCAGCACUGCAAAUUUGCAGAUCAGCAACCUCAAAAAUGAGGACACGGCUACAUAUUUCUGUGCAAGACACAGUGUGUAAAACACAUCCUGAGGGAGUCAGAAACCCUAAGGGAAAAGUGGUUCAGCUGUGACUAGACAAAAACAGAGAAAACAUUCUUCCCUUGAUCUUUGACCACAAUUAAAACAGAUAGAAAAUUGGCAUGUGGACAGCCAAAAGUAUACUCAGUGGGGCUGGGCUGUGAAGAACCAAUGAAAUAUGGGUAAAGAAAAUGUGUUUCAUUUACACAAUGGAAUAAUAAUCAGCUAUGAAAAACAAGGAAGGUACGGAAUUUGUAGGCAAAUGGAUGGAAGUAGACAAUAUUUUCCUGUGUGAGGAACUAGGACCCCAAAGGAUAGUCAUGGUGUGUACCCACUUAUAAGUGUAUAUUAGCUAUGAAAAUCAGGAUCACCAUGUUAUCAUCCACAACCCAAAGAAUCCAAAAGCAAAAAACAAAACAAAACAAAAACAAGGAGGGCCCAAUGGAGACUGGUUGAAUCUUUCUCAGAAUGGAAAUAAAAUAGGUAACAGAAUUUGAUGGCAGAAGGGAGCUGGGUAGAGAGAAGCCUGGGAGGGUUAUUGGGUAUCAGAUUUAGGGAGAAGCCAAUGGUCAUUGUCGGAAUCAGUCUAGCUGAAUUUCCUAGCAGAGGGUUAUAUGAAUCUGUAGAAAACUUUUCUUGUCACUCAUAGAAAUUUUUGUAAAUACCUGUGACAGGGCUCUGGGAAGUAGGCUCAGAGAAUAUUCACAUUUGGGCUAAAGAAAGGAUGAAGGAUCAAGGUGAACACAGCCAAAGAAUGUAUGUGUGACUUCUCUUUUGUCUUGAUAAUACUGUUAAGCCCCAGGGACCCUGAGGAACUUAUUACUUUGCUUGAUGGCUACCUGGUAUGAUCUCAUAGAUCUUUGCCAUGCUUGAACCCCUUGUUUUUGAUCUGAGAACUGACCUUAUUUUUUUGUAUGUAUCUAGAUUGAUAUGAAAUCAUACUUGAAAAUAAUAAACCUG